rnacentral:rRNA from 1 species
GAUGAACGCUGGCGGCGUGCUUAACACAUGCGAGUCGAACGAAGCACUUUAUUUGAUUUCCUUCGGGACUGAUUAUUUUGUGACUGAGUGGCGGACGGGUGAGUAACGCGUGGGUAACCUGCCUUGUACAGGGGGAUAACAGUUGGAAACGGCUGCUAAUACCGCAUAAGCGCACGGCAUCGCAUGAUGCAGUGUGAAAAACUCCGGUGGUAUAAGAUGGACCCGCGUUGGAUUAGCUAGUUGGUGAGGUAACGGCCCACCAAGGCGACGAUCCAUAGCCGAGCUGAGAGGGUGACCGGCCACAUUGGGACUGAGACACGGCCCAAACUCCUACGGGAGGCAGCAGUGGGGAAUAUUGCACAAUGGGCGAAAGCCUGAUGCAGCGACGCCGCGUGAGCGAAGAAGUAUUUCGGUAUGUAAAGCUCUAUCAGCAGGGAAGAUAAUGACGGUACCUGACUAAGAAGCACCGGCUAAAUACGUG